rnacentral:rRNA from 1 species
UGGGGAAUCUUGCGCAAUGGGCGAAAGCCUGACGCAGCGACGCCGCGUGAGUGAUGAAGGCCUUAGGGUUGUAAAGCUCUGUGGAGAGGGACGAAUAAGUGUUGGCUAAUAUCCAGCAUGAUGACGGUACCUCUUUAGCAAGCACCGGCUAACUCUGUGCCAGCAGCCGCGGUAAGACAGAGGGUGCAAACGUUGUUCGGAAUUACUGGGCGUAAAGCGCGUGUAGGCUGUCUUGCAAGUCGGGUGUGAAAGCCCGGGGCUCAACCCCGGAAGUGCACUCGAAACUGCAGGACUAGAAUCCUGGAGAGGGAGGCGGAAUUCUGGGUGUAGAGGUGAAAUUCGUAGAUAUCCAGAGGAACACCAGUGGCGAAGGCGGCCUCCUGGACAGUGAUUGACGCUGAGACGCGAAAGCGUGGGGAGCAAACAGG